UUUCCGUUGGUGAACCUGCGGAAGGAUCAUUAUUGUAUAACCGAGGUGCGAGGCCUGUCGCUGACCCGACCGGUCGCGCACGCCCGAGUGCCCUCACCCACAUCCAUCUCACCCCGAUGUGCACCACCGCGUGGGUCCCCCUUCGGCUUGUCCGGAGGGGUGCUUACGUUUUUACACAAACUUUGUAUGCAGUGUAGAAUGUAUUUUUUGUUUUUGCGAUCACGCAAUCAAUACAACUUUCAACAACGGAUCUCUUGGCUCUC
rnacentral:misc_RNA from 1 species